rnacentral:rRNA from 1 species
CCUACGGGAGGCAGCAGUGGGGAAUUUUGCGCAAUGGGCGAAAGCCUGACGCAGCAACGCCGCGUGGGUGAUGAAGGUCUUCGGAUCGUAAAACCCUGUCGUCAGGGACGAAGGUUAGUCGUUGAAUAGGCGAUUGACUUGACGGUACCUGGAGAGGAAGCCCCGGCUAACUCUGUGCCAGCAGCCGCGGUAAU